CUCUCCAGAGGAUGUCGACAUUUCCAGUACAGACGGGCAACGCCACCAGCUCUUCUGGCUGCAGCUCUUCCUUCUUUAAACCUCCUUUGAAGCCUCAACCCACGAGGCUCUCAGCCACCCCAUGUUCACUCAGAGGGGUGUAAACUAGCACACCUUACAGAAGCAAAAAGGACAGGUAAGGUUUUCUUUCUGUCUUAGAUUCUGGUUCUUGCUUCUUUUAAAGGACUUUAAACACAGAGACAAACCAACAAGUGCUGAACUCAGAAAGCACACUCACACUCUUUAAGAGCUGAGCACGGAACAAUCUCUUGUACUUUCCAGUGCCUGGCUGCAUCCCUGUGAAAAUGAGGGCCCUCAAGGCCUCCCUACCUGUACAGGCACACGAACACACUGCAGGCAGCUUUUCCUGCCUCCAGACGAUGGGAAUCUGCAGCCCCGGGUAGUUCCUGAGCAGCGCACUUCCUCUCCUAGGUUGAGGCAUUUUAUCUGUGAACCAAGUCCCAGAAUUCCCACCUGGCUAGAAGCCAGAAUAAACACGAGCAUUGUCCUGC
rnacentral:lncRNA from 1 species